AUUGAACGCUGGCGGCAGGCCUAACACAUGCAAGUCGAGCGGAUGAAGGGAGCUUGCUCCUGGAAUCAGCGGCGGACGGGUGAGUAAUGCCUAGGAAUCUGCCUGGUAGUGGGGGAUAACGUCCGGAAACGGGCGCUAAUACCGCAUACGUCCUGAGGGAGAAAGUGGGGGAUCUUCGGACCUCACGCUAUCAGAUGAGCCUAGGUCGGAUUAGCUAGUUGGUGGGGUAAAGGCCUACCAAGGCGACGAUCCGUAACUGGUCUGAGAGGAUGAUCAGUCACACUGGAACUGAGACACGGUACAGACUCCUACGGGAGGCAGCAGUGGGGAAUAUUGGACAAUGGGCGAAAGCCUGAUCCAGCCAUGCCGCGUGUGUGAAGAAGGUCUUCGGAUUGUAAAGCACUUUAAGUUGGGAGGAAGGGCAGUAAGUUAAUACCUUGCUGUUUUGACGUUACCAACAGAAUAAGCACCGGCUAACUUCGUG
rnacentral:rRNA from 1 species